rnacentral:tRNA from 1 species
UGGGGUAUGAACCCAGUAGCUUAAUUUUAGCUUAUUUUUAAU